CGCACGAGCGCACCCCUGUCUUUAGUUGCCAUCAGGUAAUGCUGAGCACUCUAAAGAGACCGCUGGUGACGAGCCAGAGGAAGGUGGGGAUGACGUCAAGUCCGCAUGGCCCUUAUGCCCUGGGCUGCACACGUGCUACAAUGGUCGGUACAGAGGGACGCCAAACCGUGAGGUGGAGCAAAUCCCAAAAAGCCGACCCCAGUUCGGAUUGCAGUCUGCAACUCGACUGCAUGAAGUUGGAAUCGCUAGUAAUCGCGAAUCAGCAGGUCGCGGUGAAUACGUUCCCGGCCCUUGNACACACCGCCCGU
rnacentral:rRNA from 1 species